UUUACAUUUUCCAAACUCCAUUGACGCAUGUGAAAGAAAACACAGACGAUAAAUUCUCGUUCUCAGCGCACAUUUCAAGACACCACUUUAAUUAUUCCUAUCAGUUCCGCUGUCUAUUGCACUCCCAUUUCUACCUCCCCCAACAUAUGAAUGAUACUUUCUAUGUUUUCAGCAGCACUUUUUGUGUACCCAAUCUGCAGGUGCACGAAAUACCUUGGCAAGGGGCAAACUGAUUAUCACUUAAGAAAACAGUAACACUGUAUAGUUCAUAUUUCUUCAAGGUCUUGAGUGAGCAUAAAUUCUCUUGAAAACGAAGUUAUUGCACUUCAAGCAUCAAGACAGCGAACCAGGUUUACUCUUGCCACAAGUGGAGUUCAUCUUGAUCUGGCUCGUUGUUCCUUUUUCCUAUGCAUAUACUUCUUUGAGAAUUGCUUCUAAAGAGGUAUAGGGCAUGGGAAAAUGGGGCAAUUGAGGUACUUCACCACUCAUUUCAACCAGCUGUAGAAAUGUAUAUCGAAAACAGAAGUAUGAAGAAAUUACAGGUGCUGGGAAUCAUUCUUCACUGAAUCCAGUUAGUGCUGACUCAGGUACCUUGGAAGUGGAAGUAUAGAAGCUCUCUUGGUUUUUUUCAUUCAGUAGAAAAACAGUCAUUAAACGCAAUUUUUAUGUUUCUGUCCAAUUACUUUUAUUUACUCUAAAUAACAAUGUAUCAUGUCAAUUGGAGGGGGAAUACAGCUACUAUGAAACAAUGUAACAGUACAUGACAUAUGUCAAAUAAAAAUCUUAUGUUUCAGUCACAGGUCAAAA